rnacentral:ncRNA from 1 species
UGUCUCCUCCGUCCCUCCUCGGGUUCGGAUUUAGCCCGCUGCCGCAAGGCCAGCGGGCUUUUUCUU